CUCAUCCUUCACUUAAGCAAUUUGCUGAAAGGUGCGGUCCACGGAUUCACCUCAACCUGUAUCUUUCUGAUUUCUUUAGAUAUUAGGUUGAAAAAGCUUGUUGAUGAACGGGAAUGCUUAUUGGAACAGAUUAAGAAACUCAAAAGGCAGCUGGAAGAGAGGCAGAAGAAUGACAAGCUGGACCAUCUGCGCCCCGAAGAUGGUGUCUUAGAAAACGGAACAGAUAUGCAUGUGAUGGAUCUACAGACUUCGCUCUGCACUGGACAAAACAGAAGAGCUUGAAGUAAGCAACGGCCACUUAGUGAAGCGUCUGGAAAAAAUGAAAGCAAACCGGAGUGCGCUUAUGUCCCAGCAGUGAACACCAGCUCUGAGCGGGAACCCGACUGGUGAAUGGGGAGCAUUGUUUCCUAGGCUUUUCUCUGUUCCUGUUCUGGAAGCUGCUGCUUCCCCUGCUUCUGCAAGAACAUCCCAGUGAGCACUCGGCUCCCUCGUGCUCCCGAGCUGGCUCAACCAUGGGAGCCCCAGCAGCCACCAGAUGCCUCUGUCUGCAGACCCCGACCCCAGGCUGGGGCCAUCUCUCCAAACCUGCAGGUGAUUUAAUAAGCACACUGGGCCCAUGGGAGCCCUGUCUCCAAUGGCACAGCAGCCUCUUAAUGCCAUUUAAAAUGGUGAUCAAAGUAAAGAUUAAAGUGGGACUUGAGUUUUCUUUUCAUGUGUCUUGCUGAAAAUUAAGGGGAAAUGUUACAGCGUUGGGACUUCCUUUCCUGGCAGAAUCUACAAUUUGAGCGACUUCAGUAGUAUCUCUUAGUCCAUGCUUUUCACACACAAAACACUGUGGAACCACAAGCCAUUACCAAGCAAAACUCUCUCACUAGAAACAAGAGGAUGGUCUGGAAGUAAAAGUGACCUUAAGAAGACUCUUUCCAGGCAACAAAUGAAGCUUUUCUAAGGGAUUUUUGCAUCAGUUCAAUCAUAAGAAUACUUUUUUUCCAGGAUAAUUAGGCAACAGCUUCACUGAAAAUGACAGCUUUUCAUUUGCAUUAUUUAAUCCUUAUAUUUGGAAUUGAAGUUGUUAACUUCUUUUAAAGAAUGUACUAUUAGAAAAAUUAAAAAAAUGAAAUGUUAAAA
rnacentral:lncRNA from 1 species